rnacentral:rRNA from 1 species
UACGUAGGGUGCGAGCGUUGUCCGGAAUUAUUGGGCGUAAAGAGCUUGUAGGCGGUUUGUCGCGUCUGCUGUGAAAAUCCGGGGCUCAACCCCGGACUUGCAGUGGGUACGGGCAGACUGGAGUGUGGUAGGGGGGACUGGAAUUCCUGGUGUAGCGGUGGAAUGCGCAGAUAUCAGGAGGAACACCGAUGGCGAAGGCAGGUCUCUGGGCCACUACUGACGCUGAGAAGCGAAAGCAUGGGGAGCGAACAGG